rnacentral:tRNA from 5 species
GGCUUUAUAGUCAAUAAUGAUAUUAGACUGCAAUUCUAAAGGAAUAAUUUAUUUUAUUAAAGCUU